GAGAAGUCCCAGCGAUGCACAUGGGCUGCAGAGAGGCAGCCUCUGUGCCCCGGCAUAAUGACCGGCAGCCGUGCCGCCAGGACAAUUUUGAUGUGUGCAAACUCCGUGACUUGACAAGCGGAGCUGUGGGUGUGUGUGCGGGGUUGCUUUGUUGGAUGCAGAAACCUCACUCAAGGCCCUCGUGGUCCAGGGGGAGUCAAAGCAUUUUCCCAGGAUGGUGACAAAGAGGUCAAGUUUGGAGGAAGUCCCGGGGAACUUGAACCAAAAGCUGCUGGUUACCAUGAAAAUCAUGGUGUGGAUCACCACAAGCUGCGGAUGUGGCUGCAGUCGAUGGCGCUUGGCGUCGGACUGGUGAAGGGACUCGGCAGGCAAGCGAUCUUGUCUUGGGUGAGCUGAGGAGAACGGGUGGAAGGAUUAUUGGCUGACGGAGAACAACGUGGCCAUCAGAGGAAGUGUCAAUAUCCCAAAUCCAUUUUCUAUACUGCAAAGAUUGAAUCUUUUUUUUUUUUAUGUUAGCCUAACUAAUGUAAAGACUGCCUAGUGCAAGUAUGUGGAAGUAUAAUUUCCACUUGAAAUUAUUUUUUUAAUUCAAAUUGAAUAAUUCAAUCCAUACAUUUAGGAUGAUUAUUUGUUAAGACAGCCCACUGAAAGCAUGUGGUAGCGCUUCACCACAAGUGGGCAUUUUAUGGAAAAUUGACUUUUUAAUUGCUUGUAUCCAAAUAGUGGAUACAUUUUUUGUUAUCUGCCUAUUUGUGAAAAAGAAAUGCUAUUUUGCUGAAUUUUCCACUACCGUUGCCAAUCUUUGUAAAAUUUACAAUAAAGGCUUGAAAUACUACAUUCAUUUCUACACUGUUAGGUGUUCAUUACGUAAUCAGAAUCAGAAAAUACUCGAUCUAUUUCCACAAUAGCAACCAAACCUUACCGUAAGGACUUUCCAUUGACGCAAUGGAAAACCACUACCUGACUACACUUCAUUAAGAAAAGAAAACAGCUUUUACACAACCUGCAGGAGACCAGGUUCAACUGUUAUUUGUACGUAUGCUUAUUAUCCAUUUGUAUUGCUACGUGAAGGGCAAAACACUAAAACACUGAAAAAUAUAACAAAUCAAAAUAUACAUAAGAUAUUGUUAGGAAUUGUGCCAUUACAACUGAGAAAUGCGAGUUGGACCAUUGAAGCGUUUUAGGACCUGACAAGUUCAGACACUUGCUAUCCCGUUUUAGCCUGCACUUCUGUCAACAGAGGAAGGGUCAGGGUUCGGGUUGCGGGUUAGGGUUAGGGUCACUGGUGAGCUGGAUCUCAGAUGACUUUGAGCGAGAGGCUGGGUACGUACUCCCUGGACUGGCCGCCAGCCAAUUGCAGGGCGCAUAAAGACAAACAACCAUUCGCGCGCACAGUUUCACACCGACAGUAUUUGUAUGGACAAUUUUGAGUCUUCAAGUUAACCUUUCCACGCAAAACUCCUCACAGGAGGGCCACAGGUCAAAUUCGAACCCUGAACCUCUCGCUGA